CUGGGAUCCCACCCCGGGCGCCAGGGAUGGCAGCAGAGCGACCUUUCUCGGCCCUGUGGACAGCCGCUCCUCCUAGACUCCAGCUUUCCCCCACUAACUUUUAUAAGAGAUGAAAAGCUGUUCACACGUUCUCAAGUGUGAAAGAAAAGGAAAUUCUCUUGUGUUAGAAGCCCUGAACCUCAAACUCCGCAAGGAGAACGGUUGACUCAGUCACCCCCCUUCCUCCAGUCCCUCAUUUGUCCUCCGCUUCCUGCGGCUGAACGGUCCUUGAUAAGUGGCCUCCAGAAGAUUCGUCUAUUCCCGCAGCUGGUUAAUGUUCAACCCCCGGGCCUCGAGAGGCAGCUCCAAGGAGGCAGGCAGGCAUGACCCAUUCAAGGUAUAUGGCUGCUCGGGAGUGAAGGCGCGGAGGCCCGAGAAAGGAUAAACAAGACACCGCCUCAUCAGAUAAGAACGUCUCCUUCGAUGUCACGGAUUUCAAGAGGUAGCUGGAGAAACUGACGUCAGGAGUGUCCUGUGAAUGAACAUCGCCCGAGGCCUAGCACCCACAGAAGAAGGGUUCUAUUUUACUCUACUUUGCUUGAUAUUAUUUAUUUUCUAACAAAGUGAUCCGUAGUCUGCAACCUUAGGCUCUGACAGGCAAAGCCCAUUUCUUAGCUCUGGGGAUGGCUUGCAGGGUCUCCACCUCUGUCCACUUUGGUGUCCUCUUUCUCCCUUCGGCUCCCCACCUCCAUCCCCCGAGCCCACACACAGCGGGGUGAAGCUGUCGGGGAGACUCGUGGGCAACCAAAUGCAGGCACCCUCUGAAGAGACGCCGAGAAGGCCCUGCAUUCGAUCCGGGAGGACAUAGAAAGAUGCCAUGAAGUUCUAUUGGGUGCAGCAAGCCGUUCCCCACGCACACUCCCCGUGAUACCUGCCCAGAGAAGCAGAAGCAGUUUCGAGGGCUGUUGACACAGGCAGAGCGGGGAAACGCGCCCAAGAAUUGGGCUGCCACUGAGCGACGAGGAUAAAAGUUCCUGCCCAGGACUGUGUGCGAGGGGGUCCCGCACUGCUGCAAACUCUCAGCGGAGGCAGAGAGGCUUUGCUGUUUCUGGAGAGAGGAAGCAUUGGCAGAGGCAGUCUCCGGGCUGUGAGGAAUCCACCCUCAUGCCUUAGUGUGGGUACGUCAGGUCCCAGCAUCAGCGGGCCAUUUCCUCAGUUGCAUGAAUGGAGGAAAAACCAAACCAAACCAAACCAAACCAAACCAAACCAAACCAAACCAAACCUUGGCUGUGGACAAAGAAAACAGGAGAGGGAGAGGAUGGAGGAGAAAAAGAGCACGAGGGAGGGCAAACACCUUAAACAUUUUUUGCCGUAAGACUAGAAGAACUAGGUCUGGAAAGAUCCAUCAAAGUCCCAGGGUGCAGACACACACCCUGCCCAGGGAGAGCCCAGUGAGUCUGAACUUCUCUUAGUCCUUCUGAAGGAAGGAAAUUUAAAAAGCACCUCUCACUACCACCAAAAAGUAAACACUUUUACCAUGUAGUCAUUACAUGUUUUUGAAUUUUUUUAAUUGUAAGGAAUUUAGAUGGCUCUUAUAGCCAUUCUUCUGCAGAGUAACUUAAGCUUCAAAUAGCUCCUGUUUUCCACAACUACCACUGAACUGUAGAAAUGUAUUGUUACAAAAGGAGUAGAAAUGACUUUUAAAGGUAAUUAAGUAUAAUUAAAUAUAUCUUCAGGGGGUAUUUCAUUUCUUGCAGGAUUCUCUACUCUUCAAAAAAAUCUAAAAUCAACAUUUACAUUUUAAAAAUGCAUAAAAUACUCAGCACAGAAGUGAAUGAAGUUAUGCAUCCCAAACACAGUAAAUUCUGCUUUCUAUCUUUUCAGAUAGACAGUCAACAAUGGGA
rnacentral:lncRNA from 1 species